rnacentral:lncRNA from 1 species
AGGACAGGAAUUUGCAAUCAAAUAAGGUAGGCUGCCCUUUAGGAGAGGGCAAGAGACAGGUAUGUGAGGUAGGGGUUAGUCUUGGAGGCCAUAAGCUUUCCUAAAGAGAUGGGUUUUAAGGCACUUCUUAAAAGAUGCAAGACUAGGGGAGAGUCUGAUGGCGGGAGGCAGGCUAUUCCAUAGGAAGGGAGCCGCCCGCGAGAAGUCCUGCAAGCGCGAGUUGGCCGUACGGGUGCGGACAACGGACAG